rnacentral:rRNA from 1 species
GGUUACUAUAGCAAAGAGGAUACACCUGUUCCCAUUCCGAACACAGAAGUUAAGCUCUUUAGCGCCGAUGGUACUUGGUGGGAAGCUGCCUGGGAGAGUAGGACGUAGCCGCGU